AAAAAAAAAAAAAAAGGCCACGUGAGGACACAGCAAGAAGGCAGCUGAAUAGAAGCCAAGAAGUGAGUUCUCACCAGCAACCAGCCCGGCUGGAGUCUUGAUCUUGGCCUUCUAGUCUCUAGAACGGAUUGUGGAUGAUCAUCGGUGCAAUGUCACAUUUCCGAGAAAUCCUCAAAAGGGGGCAAAAGCAAGUGUCAUCGGCCGCUCUGACAGGUGCGAGACGACAUCUCACUGUGGUUUUCAUGUGCAUUUCCCGAUGAUGAGUGACGAUAAGCACCUUUUCACCGGCCCGUGGGCCAUCUGUCUGCCAUUAUCUGCUCAAUAUUCCACGGUGCGUUAAAAUAUAAUCGCAACCAAUGCAAGUGGAAUGGAGAGCACGUGACAAAGAGAAAAGCGAGGUCUUCGUUUCUCAUUCUGCACAGGCGUUUUGCAUCUUUAAAGAAGAAAAAUGUCUGGAGCCUUUGGAGAAAAAAUGAUCAUACAGAAGAACCUCAGAAAACAACAAUAUUUAGAGCUCAAAGAGGACUUGAAAAUCAUCUAAUCCAACAUUUCCAAAUGAUAUAGAAACACUUCCUAUGAGUCACAAAAGGAAGAAAAACAACCAACCAAAGCAAACACUUUCAUUCCUAGGACCUUGCAAAUGAUUUUUACUGAGAAGCCUUAUUCCCAAGAAUUCUGAUGCCAGCUGCUGAUACAAUACAGGUUUUACCUCCCCAAGAGAUUGUUAGAUGUGAUCCACAUCUUGCCUCCGAGAGGCCCUUUAAAAUGAAGCCUGUCUGCAAACUGGGAGGAAGGACUUUAACCCCAAACUAGGACAUGCCAAGAUGGGGCUCUUAAACCACAAGAAAGAGUGGUGAGAGAAGAAAGAAGUUCAUUAACACAGACAGUUCAUAUAUAACAUGGCAGACAGCCGGGAAAAAGAGAUGGCUUAAAAUGUGGCCUUAAAUAUCAUCUUUAUCAGAAAACAUAAAAAGAACCUCAACAAAGCAAUACAGGUAUGAACGACUGACUAGAAGAGUGGACCAGUAAAGCAAACAAACAAUUCACGGAAAAUAAGUAGAAAUACCCAAUCAACACAUUAAAAUAUGUACAGGGUCAUUAACAAGAGCCCAACAAGCCUCACUAGUUGAAUGGAAAUGUCAUAGUCAAGAGCACAGGUGGACCGGCUGGGAGAACAUUUAGCUUUAUAUCAAAGUGAGCCAGCGGGGCGCCUGGGUGGCUCAGUCGGCUGAGCGUCCGACUUCGGCUCAGGUCAUGACCUCUUGGUUCGUGAGUUCAAACCCCAUGUCGGGCUCACUGCUGUCAGCACAGAUCCUUGUCCUUUUCUCUUUGCCCCUCCCUUGCUUGUGCUCUCUCAAAAAAUAAG